AGCUCAAAUGCAUGAGGACCAGUUGACUAGCAGCGAAGAGAAUUCUGGAAGAUUCGACUAUGCUGAGGAAAUUUAUUUAUGAUUCUCAAAACACGGAGGCUGGGUGGAGCCACAACAGAAAAUUACCAAAUUUCAACAAUUGCUCAAGAAUUGGCCAAUAUUUUCGUUUCGGAAAUGAAACUUGCACAGCACUGUCUUGCAUUUCUUGUUUGGAUUGGAUUGGUCCUUCCAGUUCUUUCGCAGUUGUUGUUCUGCUAUUACACCAACUGGUCACAGUAUCGAAGAGGUUCAGGAAAAUUUAUUCCAAAUAAUAUCGAUCCAAGCUUAUGCACCCAUAUUCUAUUUGCUUUUGCCACAUUAAAUGGGAACCAAGUGAAAACGACAGAGUGGAAUGACGUUGCAAUGCUGAAUGAAAUAGUUCGUCUAAAGAAACGCAACCCACAACUAAAAAUAUUGCUCUCUGUGGGAGGCUGGGGUACAAAUGCCAGAAAAUUUAGCUCAAUGGCUUCCACUGCACGGUCGAGAGAAGAGUUUCUAAACAGCGCUUCGAAGUUUUUAAAUCGUUACAGCUUAGACGGUUUAGACAUUGACUGGGAAUAUCCCGCAGUAGCAUACAGAGGCGGAUCACCAAAAGACAAAUAUAAUUUUGUUUUACUUUUACAGCUGCUCAGGCGAAGAUUAACACGCAGAUACCUGUUAACUAUUGCUGUAGCCGCAGGUAAACAAAUUAUUGAUGUUGGUUAUGAUGUACAACGAAUUGCAAGGACUGUAGAUUACAUACUACUGAUGACAUACGAUUUCCAUGGUUCAUGGGAGAAACUGACAGGACACCUUUCCCCAUUGUAUCCAAAGAAAGGAGAGACCAAUGGAAGACAAUAUCUCAAUGUGGAUUAUGCUGUGACUUAUUGGAAGUCAAAGGGUGCUCCUGCAAACAAACUUAUUAUGGGAAUACCAUUCUACGGACGAUCAUUUACAUUAGUCGAUGGCCAGCUUAAUGGUAUGAUGGCACCAGCAACAAGACCAGGAACUCCGGGACCCAUAAUACAUUCAUCUGGCGUUAUGUCUUAUCAGGAAAUAUGCCUAGUAGAAAAAUCAUGGUCGAGACAUUGGGAUAACGAUCAUCAAGUUCCUUAUCUUGUCCGAGGAAAUCAAUGGGUUGGAUAUGAAAACAAAGAGAGUGUGCGAUUGAAAGGCAAUUACCUUGUGAGCAGGAAUUUAGCUGGUGCCAUGAUUUGGUCACUAGAUUUUGACGACUUCGACAAUGCAUGUCGGCAAGGCCGCUUUCCAUUGUUAAAUACGCUAGUAUCUUCUUUGGCACUCCAUAAUCGUAGACCAACUACCUUUCGAUCCUAUACAGUCAGACCACAAGCCACUACUCCAAGAAUAUGGACACAUUCACCUAAUAUUCCACACUAAUCCAGUUGGAUUUCCAUUUCAUAAAGCUUAUUUUUAACCUUCCAAUUGAGUGAUGAUAACAAGAAGAAUUCUCAAGAACAAUAUUUCACAUUCCAAUAAAGUAUCUCUCUUCAGAGAAGUUUUACAAGCACAGGAUAAUUUCAGUAAUAUAGAAAAAGUAGUCAAGGUACCAAUAAUAGGAUGAAAGUUGAACUGAAUACUAAACACUAUCUGUCCACCAAAUGUGAAUGUGAUAAUUGGUGACCCAUACAACUGCCAUGUUUUCCAUGUUUGUUACUUAGGACGUGAUUAUCGCUACAU